rnacentral:rRNA from 1 species
UACGUAGGUGGCAAGCGUUGUCCGGAAUUAUUGGGCGUAAAGCGCGCGCAGGCGGUCCUUUAAGUCUGAUGUGAAAGCCCACGGCUCAACCGUGGAGGGUCAUUGGAAACUGGAGGACUUGAGUACAGAAGAGGAGAGUGGAAUUCCCGGUGUAGCGGUGAAAUGCGCAGAUAUCGGGAAGAACACCCGUGGCGAAGGCGGCUCUCUGGGACGGUACUGACGCUGAGACGCGAAAGCGUGGGGAGCGAACAGG